AGGAGCAUAAUUAGUACUUCCUCCGACCGGUAUUACUUGUCUCAAAUUUGCCCAAAUACGGAUGUAUCUAUGUGUAAAACGUGUCUAGAUACAUGUAAUAUUUCGACAAGUAAUUCCGACCGGAGGGAGUGCCAUAAU